UACAGAGGGGGCAAGCGUUGUUCGGAAUUACUGGGCGUAAAGGGCGCGUAGGCGGCCUGCUAAGUCGAACGUGAAAUCCCCGGGCUCAACCCGGGAACUGCGUCCGAUACUGGCAGGCUUGAAUCCGGGAGAGGGAUGCGGAAUUCCAGGUGUAGCGGUGAAAUGCGUAGAUAUCUGGAGGAACACCGGUGGCGAAGGCGGGCUACUGGGCCGAUACUGACGCUGAUGCGCGAAAGCCAGGGGAGCGAACGGG
rnacentral:rRNA from 1 species